UUCAGAGUGAUAAUGAUUGCAGCAGUAAUGAACGGUUGUACGCGCUGAUUGUUUUGGUUCUUCAUGGUUUCUAAGGUUUAAAGGCAUGAGGGUCCGCUACAGUAAGAGCUUCAUCUUCGCUGGUUCAGAUGCUCGCUGCACGUGCUGACUCACGGUUUCACCGUGACGAUGGUCAAUGGACUGCAGGACUUCGGAAUCGGCGUGAUGGUCUACGGAGCUGAGACACGAACAAGAAUCUGAAAGCCUGCUCCAGACGGGAACAGAAGGUGAGGAUUCAUUCGAGCUGCACUCUGUGGACUUGGAGCUGGAGGCCAUGGAGAAGCAGAUCCACAACCUAUAAAUGAAGCUAGCCCAGCUGUGAGAGCGGAACGCCGCGCUGGAAUCAUCCCGGAUUGAGCUCACCUGUCCCAGGUAAACCCGUGGCGUGAAACAAACACUCCCACAACCUCAACUCCGUGUUCUUCUCUGCCCAGGCCCAACGCACCAAGGACGCAGCCCGCCCAGGUUUCCUUCACUCCGGUGCCUGGGUACCACGCAGCCUGGAUGCAGCAGCAGCGGAAGACACGAGCCAAGCCCUGGGCGAGGACCUCUCCCCUUCCCCACCCGUUUUCGAGAUCUCAACCCGCAACCACUUCGCUCCCCUUUGCGAGACGGAGUGCGAUGUGGUGAUCAUCGGAGACUCCACACAUCCGUGCUACUGCGGCUAAAGGUAAGGUGCGCACUCGCUGUUUUCCUGGUACUCGUGUUGUUGAUGUCACUGCACAGGUACAGCGAUCCUGAAUAAGAACAUCGGAGCUGUGGUCCUCCAUGCUGGCAUGAACGACAUCAGGCUGAGGCAGACGGAGAUCCUGAAGAAGGACUUCAGGAGCCUGGUGGAGAAGGUUCACACCACAUCGCCUAUGACGAGGAUCAACGUGUCAGGACAACUUCCCACAUUCCAUUGAGAAAUCAAGAGGCUCUACCGUUCUGAUGGCCUGCACCCAAGCAGAGUUGGAGCAGCAGUCCUCUCGGACAACAUCUCCAGGACUCUACGCUGCAUCUGACUGCCAUCCCGAGGCAUACAGAGAUUGUGCCAGCUCCAGUGGCAUCCAGAGAUGGACCAGCUCCAGCCGGGUUCUGCUUUGUGAGGAUUCGGUCAACCUUUAGGGACAUAAUAAUCACAUUGGACGAAGGCGUAUUUGGAAGGAGAACUGCUGGAUGCAGGAGGAUUUGGCUGUGUGUUUGCUGGACUACGCAAAGAAGACGGAUUGCCAGUUGCAAUCAAGUACGUCUCCAAAAAGAUGCCAUAUGAAAAACUGCAGCUUACAGGAUAUGGAUGGCUGCCCAUUGAGAUAGCUUUGAAGAUCCUUGCAAACACAGAACCUUGCUCAAAAAUCCUGAAGAUUCUGGACUGGCACGAAGAGGCAAAGUGAUAUAUCGUACUCCUGGAACAGCCUGAACCAUGUGUGGACCUCGAGGAACUCUCCGGCAAGCAAGGUGGAUGUUUGACUGAGGUCGAGGCUCACAAUGUGAUGUUUCAGCUGAUGGAAGCACUGAAGCAUUGCAAGAGCCAGGGGAUACUGCAUCGUGAUGUCAAGCCAGAAAACAUUCUGAUUCAGACAGACACGUUUCAAGUCAAGCUGUUUGACUUGAAAGAGACCUCGUCAAAGACCCUUACAGUUACUUUGCAGGUGUCUGAUGUCUAAAUCUAAUGUAUCUUUGUUAACACUUGAAUAUGCCCCUCCUGCUCCUCGAAAGUCUGUCUCAAGGCAAGGAACUAUACUCAAUUUAAUACUUUUGAAAAAGUUUGAUUUUCAGAUUAGGAUGUAAAUUCUCCCAACCAGGAGAGGGUGCUAGUUCCAGCCAGCAGCAAGGUGCUAGGGCGAAAUUGUAAAGCAAUGCACGAUUGAUAUGGCUAAAGCAUUUGGAGAAGAGAAAAUAGUCAAGAACUUUGAGUCUGUAUCUUUGUCCCGCUGAACAGUAACACGUCGAAUUUCUGACUUUCAAUGUCAAAUCUAAGAAAAGCUGAAACUUGCAAUAAACAAUUGCAAAUACUGGCACAGACGUGACAGAUGCCAGUCAGCUCCUGAUCUUUGCAAGAACGAUUACAGAGAACUUUGAUGUUCAAGAGGAGCUGUUAAAGCUUGCUUCAUUACAUGACACCACUUUUUCAGAACUGACACUGAAAAGGGAAAUUAAAAAGUUUUUGGAUUUAGGGUCUCUAGCUUAUAUAAUCAAUGAGAAAAUGAAUCUCAAAUAGCAAGCAUUCUGUUAUUUAGAAAUGAGUUUGUAUUGUGAUUUUCCUUUUGAAUUACCAAAGACCUGAGGAAUUACUGUACAAUGUCUGUUUAAUCAUUGCCUCUCAGUCCUAUGUAGACGUUGUGUUGGAAUGUAAUGUUAAGCUCCAACUCUUCUGCAUUCACGCGUCUCCUGAACAUCUCCCGAUCAGCUACCGGCUCUUUGCGUGUUCGCUCGGCCGAGGUGGAGGGUCAGCGCGCACACAGGAGCAGCAGUGGAGUGAAGUUCUGUGUUGUGUCCGAUCGUCAGUCAAGAGGAGCUGAACAUGCCUUAGAGUUCUUGUACUUGUUGGAUUCUGUAUCACAAGUCAGAGUCUGCUGUUGUGUGGACCACCUGUCUGGCAUUAAACUGACACCAAAACCAGCACAUGUUCACAUGUUCAUAAUUAUACCUGGCUGCUUGAUCUGAAAUUUUUUACAUCACUUAAGUAUGUGGUGGUGUAUUCAUCAAGUGCAAAUGACAGAAAUUUCAAGAAAAUUUUCAUGAUGUACCAAGUUUUUUUUUUUCUUUUUUCUUUUUCCACUCUGUUUCCUUCACCUGUCUGUCUUGUCAUUGAGAACUUUGAAAGGGCUCAAAGUUGAAUGUAAUCCACCAUCUAAUUGUUCAUACUAAUUUUCAGGAUCAAAUAUAUAUAUAUAUAUAUAUAUAUAAUCAUUGUUUACAACCUGUGUCUUGUGUUGUGUACCACACAAAUGGGCAGAUUAGUGCAGUUAGUGGACAGUAAUAACCGCUUAAUAUUUUAACAUGGUGUACAGGAUUAACAUAAGUAAAGUUGUCUUUAUUUGUCACAUGUACAUUACUGCACAGUGAAAUUCAUUCUUCGCGUAUCCCAUCCUUGGGGGUUGGGGUCAGAGCACAGGGUCAGCCAUGCUGCAGCACCCCUGAUGCAGCAGGGUGGGU